AUCGUAAAUCGAUCAUAACAAGGUGGUGAUUGGGGUUAACAGACACUCCAACAAACAUGCUAACGGGCAUAUCCCGAAAGCGCAAGGUGCGUUCAAAGGUUUGAUGACUCGCGGAAUUCUGCAAUUCGCAUUACGUAUCGCAUUUCGCUGCGUUCUUCAUCGUUGUGGGAGCCAAGACAUCCGUUGCUGAAAGUUGUAUUCUCAUUGCGGGCGCGCGUUCCUCGUAAGAAACGUGCACCAGACUACUUCCUUGAUCCAUA
rnacentral:rRNA from 1 species